rnacentral:rRNA from 1 species
AAUCAACGCUGGCGGCGUGCCUCAGACAUGCAAGUCGAACGCGAAAGGCUCCUUCGGGGGCCGAGUAGAGUGGCGCACGGGUGAGUAACACGUAGGUAAUUUGCCUUUGGGUGGGGAAUAACUCAGGGAAACUUGAGCUAAUACCGCAUAAUGCAGCGGCUCGACAUCGAGACAGUUGUUAAAGCGGGGGAUCGCAAGACCUCGCGCCUGAAGAGAAGCCUGCGGCAGAUUAGCUAGUUGGUAGGGUAAUGGCCUACCAAGGCGACGAUCUGUAACCGGCCUGAGAGGGCGGUCGGUCACACUGACACUGACAUACGGGUCAGACUCCUACGGGAGGCAGCAGUCGGGAAUUUUGGGCAAUGGGCGCAAGCCUGACCCAGCAACGCCGCGUGAAGGAUGAAAUCCC